ACAGGCAAAGCAGCUGGAUUCAGAGGCAUGGCAUCAUCCACACCUAUUAGUGGGAAGGUUCUCUGGAACAUCAAAAAUAAAAAUCCUAAAACGGGCAUGAUAAUGCAUACCUCAAGUUCCAGAACUUGGGAAAUGGAAGCAGGAAAUCUCUGAGUCUGAGGCUAACCCGGUCUACACAUACUGUCAGAGAAGCCAGGGAGACUUUGUCUUAAAAACCCAAACAAAACAAAAAUCCCUCAAAAAAAAACCAAGCCAGGUGAGGGGGUGCAUGCUUUGAACUCUAGCACUUGAGUGCAGAGGCAGAAGGAUCUGUGUGAGGUCAAGGUCAGCCUAGUGUACAUAGCUCCAGGCCAGUCAGUGCUACAGAGUGAGACCCUGUCUCAAAACAAGAGACCACUCUUACUUGAUUGACUAUAGUAUGACUGAGCCGGUCAGCACCUUUCCCUUGCUGGUCCAGCCAGACCCGGGGACUCACUUUAUGGAUGCGUGUGCACUGUUCAUGACAAGGUGGAGGUUCUGCAAGGCCACGUCGGUGUUCUGCUUCACUACAGAAAGGCUGGCACCCUGGCCUGACCGCAGGGCUUCAUUUUCUCGCCUCAAGUUUGAGAGCUGGGCCUAGAGAGAAGGGCGAAGUUAGUGCUCCCGAGGCAAUUCAGCCUCUGCAUCACGACGGGCACACAUCUGGACACGGGGACCAGCCUGGCCCUGGCCUGUUCAAAACAGGUGCUUCUUGCCUCUGUAGCCCAGGCUGGCCUUAAAUGUACAACUAUCCUUUUCCUCAGCCUCCUGACUGCUCCGACCGCUGUGCUUGGCUUACACUAUUUUCUCCCUCCCUGAACUCACAUGUAUGACAGCCAAACCUUUCUCUUUACUUACCUGAAGCAAAUUUAUUUCCUGUUUCAGCUUCAAGACAUGAUUUUCUGCUUUUACAGCCCGUUUCUGUGGCCCCC
rnacentral:lncRNA from 1 species